AACACAAUCUAUUGAUCUGAGCCUAAACCAAGGCAGGCCAUAGAAACACCAAUCUAUUGAUCUCAGAGCCUAAACAAAGGUAGGCCAUAGAAACAUCAAUAUAUUGAUCUCAGAGCCUAAACCAAGGCAGGCCAUAAAAACAUCAAUCUAUUGAUCUGAGCCUAAACCAAGGCAGGCCAUAGAAACAUCAAUCUAUUGAUCUGAGCCUAAACCAAGGCAGGCCAUAGAAACAUCAAUCUAUUGAUCUGAGCCUAAACCAAGGCAGGCCAUAGAAACACCAAUCUAUUGAUCUCAGAGCCUAAACCAAGGCAGGCCAUAGAAACACCAAUCUAUUGAUCUGAGCCUAAACCAAGGCAGGCCAUAAAAACACCAAUCUAUUGAUCUGAGCCUAAACCAAGGCAGGCCAUAGAAACACCAAUCUAUUGAUCUGAGCCUAAACCAAGGCAGGCCAUAAAAACACCAAUCUAUUGAUCUGAGCCUAAACCAAGGCAGGCCAUAGAAACACCAAUCUAUUGAUCUCAGAGCCUAAACCAAGGCAGGCCAUAGAAACACCAAUCUAUUGAUCUCAGAGCCUAAACCAAGGCAGGCCAUAGAAACACCAAUCUAUUGAUCUGAGCCUAAACCAAGGCAGGCCAUAGAAACACCAAUCUAUUGAUCUCAGAGCCUAAACCAAGGCAGGCCAUAGAAACACCAAUCUAUUGAUCUCAGAGCCUAAACCAAGGCAGGCCAUAGAAACAUCAAUCUAUUGAUCUCAGAGCCUAAACCAAGGUAGGCCAUAGAAACACCAAUCUAUUGAUCUGAGCCUAAACCAAGGCAGGCCAUAAAAACACCAAUCUAUUGAUCUGAGCCUAAACCAAGGCAGGCCAUAAAAACAUCAAUCUAUUGAUCUCAGAGCCUAAACCAAGGCAGGCCAUAGAAACACCAAUCUAAUGAUCCCAUAUAAACACCAAUCUAUUGAUCUCAGAGCCUAAACAAAGGUAGGCCAUAGAAACAUCAAUCUAAUGGUUUGAACAGAAUCAUUGAAAAAUACACCAUUUUGCCCACAGCUCUACAGAAAUGUCAUCAAAAUUUGCCAUUGCACUUUAUCUGAACGAUCAUGGCCCCCUUCCAACAUCUACAAACCAUACAGGAAAUGAGGCCGUGUUUGUUACCACAGAGGGUGUUUUUGUUACAACAGAAGGGGAACGGAGGGUGUUUUUGUUACCACAGAAGGUGAACGGAGGGUGUUUGUGUUACCACAGAGGGUGAACGGAGGGAGGGUGUUUGUGCUACCACAGAGGGUGAACGGAGGGAGGGUGUUUGUGUUACCACAGAAGGUGAACGGAGGGUGUUUUUGUUACCACAGAAGGUGAACAGAGGGUGUUUGUGCUACCACAGAAGGUGAACGGGGGGUGUUUUUGUUACCACAGAAGGUGAACGGAGGGUGUUUUUGUUACCACAGAGGGUGAACGGAGGGUGUUUUUGUUACCACAGAGGGUGAACGGAGGGUGUUUGUGCUACCACAGAGGGUGAACGGAGGGUGUUUGUGUUACCACAGAGGGUGAACGGAGGGUGUUUGUGUUACCACAGAAGGUGAACGGAGGGUGUUUGUGUUACCACAGAAGGUGAACGGAGGGUGUUUGUGUUACCACAGAAGGUGAACAGAGGGUGUUUGUGUUACCACAGAAGGUGAACGGAGGGUGUUUGUUACCACAGAGGGUGUUUGUUACCACAGAAGGUGAACGGAGGGUGUUUGUGUUACCACAGAAGGUGAACGGAGGGUGUUUGUGUUACCACAGAAGGUGAACGGAGGGUGUUUGUGUUACCACAGAAGGUGAACGGAGGGUGUUUGUGUUACCACAGAAGGUGAACAGAGGGUGUUUGUGUUACCACAGAGGGUGAACGGAGGGUGUUUGUUACCACAGAGGGUGAACGGAGGGUGUUUGUGUUACCACAGAAGGUGAACGGAGGGUGUUUGUGUUACCACAGAAGGUGAACAGAGGGUGUUUGUGUUACCACAGAGGGUGAACGGAGGGUGUUUGUGUUACCACAGAGGGUGUUUGUGUUACCACAGAAGGUGAACGGAGGGUGUUUGUGUUACCACAGAGGGUGAACGGAGGGUGUUUGUUACCACAGAGGGUGAACGGAGGGUGUUUGUGUUACCACAGAAGGUGAACGGAGGGUGUUUUUGUUACCACAGAGGGUAAACAGAGUUUUUUUUUUGUUACCACAGUAUGUGGAGAGUUUCAGGCAGGGGUUGUGGUGCUCGUUCACACCCGUACAGAUAUAAUAUGGCUCUGAAUUAUCAAUGAAAACAUGAUUUUAUUUAUUUAUUUAUAUAUAACGACAGUUAAAUAAAUCCCAAUAAUUUACAUACGGCAUAAUUUAGUAAUGAAUGUAGGAAUGUUUGAUAAAUGACGACUCCACUUUUCAGCACCAUGGUUUGUUCCUAACAGAUCUACUGCUCAUGACUGGCCAUCGGGUUGGCAUUUCCUGUCCUUAUAAUAAACAACAUACUGUACCCAAUACAAUAAGUAGUUAUGUGCCCAAGUGGUGGGCGGGCGCAGGUCAAAUAUAGUGCACUAUAUAGGGAAUAGGGUUCCAUAGGGCCCUGGUCUAAAGUAGUGCACUAUAUAGGGAAUAGGGUUCUGGUCUAAAGUAGUGCACUAUAUAUAGGGAAUAGGGUUCUGGUCUAAAAUAGUGCACUAUAUAGGGGAGUAGGGUACCAUAGGGCUCUGGUCUAAAGUAGUGCACUAUAUAGGGAAUAGGGUUCCAUAGGGCUCUGGUCUAAAGUAGUGCACUAUAUAUAGGGAAUAGGGUUCUGGUCUAAAGUAGUGCACUAUAUAUAGGGAAUAGGGUUCUGGUCUAAAAUAGUGCACUAUAUAUAGGGAAUAGGGUUCUGGUCUAAAAUAGUGCACUAUAUAUAUAGGGAAUAGGGUUCUGGUCUAAAAUAGUGCACUAUAUAUAUAGGGAAUAGGGUUCUGGUCUAAAAUAGUGCACUAUAUAGGGAAUAGGGUUCCAUAGGGCUCUGGUCUAAAGUAGUGCACUAUAUAGGGAAUAGGGUUCCAUAGGGCUCUGGUCUAAAGUAGUGCACUAUAUAGGGAAUAGGGCUCUGGUCUAAAGUAGUGCACUAUAUAGGGAAUAGGGUUCCAUAGGGCUCUGGUCUAAAGUAGUGCACUAUAUAGGGAAUAGGGUUCCAUAGGGCUCUGGUCUAAAGUAGUGCACUAUAUAGGGAAUAGGGCUCUGGUCUAAAGUAGUGCACUAUAUAGGGAAUAGGGUUCCAUAGGGCUCUGGUCUAAAGUAGUGCACUAUAUAGGGAAUAGGGUUCCAUAGGGCUCUGGUCUAAAGUAGUGCACUAUAUAGGGAAUAGGGCUCUGGUCUAAAGUAGUGCACUAUAUAGGGAAUAGGGUUCCAUAGGGCUCUGGUCUAAAGUAGUGCACUAUAUAGGGAAUAGGGUUCCAUAGGGCUCUGGUCUAAAGUAGUGCACUAUAUAGGGAAUAGGGUGACAUUAGGGACAUAGAUC